AGAGGAAAGAAGAAAUGGUUUGAUGGAAAAGUAGAACAAGGGAGAAGGGGAAGAAUACUUACUGGGCGUGAUAUUUCUCAAAAUCUGAGAAAUUUUCACAAUGAUUUUGGAAAUUUCAAACGGUCUGGCAGUAAGAGAAAAAUGAUGCAGGGUUCAACUGAUUUAGGGUCUGAUAUUGAGGGUAUGUCGAGUGAAUCAGAUGAAGAGGAAGAAGUACUAGUAGAUGAGGAUGAGUUAUCUAGAUGGAAGAAGAGGUCAAUAUUCUUCAAGCUACCUUAUUGGGAGGAACUCCCGGUGAGGCACAACUUAGAUGUAAUGCAUGUGGAGAGAAAUGUUGCUGCAAGCUUAGUUUCAACGUUGUUGCACUGUGGGAAAUCUAAGGAUGGUCUUGCCGCUCGUAAGGAUCUGGAGGAGCUUGGUAUUAGGCCGGAUUUGCACCCUAGAGUGCAAGGAAAAAGAACCUAUCUCCCUCCAGCACCGUGGUCUUUGUCCAAGCAAGAAAAGAAGAUAUUUUGCAGGCGUCUAUUUGACUUCAAAGGGCCAGAUGGAUAUUGUUCUAACAUAUCAAGAGGUGUCUCGUUGGAUGACUGUAAAGUCUCUGGUCUGAAAUCACAUGACUACCAUGUUUUGAUGCAACAACUUCUGCCGAUUGCACUUAAAGGGUUGCUGCCAAAAGGACCGAGGCUUGCAAUUUUUAGAUUAUGCUCUUUCUUCAAUCUGUUGUGUCAGAGAGUGAUUGACAUGGAGAAGCUUCUAGUUAUGGAAGCUGAGAUUGUUGAGACUCUGUGCUUGUUUGAAAGAUACUUUCCUCCAAGUUUGUUUGAUAUCAUGCUUCAUUUGACUGUCCAUCUAGGAAGAGAAGCUCGGCUUGGUGGACCAGUCCACUUUAGAUAGAUGUACCCGUUUGAAAGGUAGAUAAUUAUGAUUUUUUUUCAUUCUGUUACAAACAUAUCCAAAACUGACAUUUAUUGAUUUGAUUCAGGUACAUGAAAGUCCUCAAAGACUUUGUUAGAAAUCCUGCAAGACCAGAGGGCUGCAUAGCUGAGUGCUACCUUGCUGAGGAAUGUAUCCGGUUUUGCAGUGAGUUCCUGAAGAAAACAACAAAUGUUCAAGAGAAACAGGAUAGAAACACAGAGUAUGAGAACAAUUCUAUCUUAGAGGGUCAUCCAAUAACCACUGCUACUUCAGUAAGUCUCACUGAAACGGAAAAGAGGAUUGCUCAUCUUGCUAUCAUCCAAAACAUGGCUCUGGUCGAACCUUAUGUAGAUGAGCAUCUACAAUAUUUACAAGACACAGAUGGAAGGUGUCGGCGAGAUGCAUCAACGUUAUGGAGUAUGCAUACUAAGAAUUUUGCUUCCUGGCUAAAAGAGAAGGUGCCUCUUGAUUCUGCAGAACAUGACGACACACUUAAGUGGAUAGCUUAUGGUCCACGUUGUUCUGCGAGAUCAUAUACAGGAUUCAUUGUUAAUGGGCAGAGGUUUCACACAGUGUCAGUUGAUAGGAAAAGUCAGAAUAGUGUGGUCUAUUAUGAGGCUACAGCAGUGUGUAGAGCUAGUGCAAAAGAUACAUCACAGGUGGUAGAUUUAGUAUCUUACUACGGCAGGGUGACAGACAUCAUUUUGAUCGACUACAAUGUCUUCUAUGUUCCUCUGUUCCGAUGUCAAUGGGCAGUUAAGGGUAAUCGAGUAAAGAUCGAAGAUGGUUUUACACUUGUGAACAUGAAUCAAAGUCAAGCCUCCUUUGCAAGUGACCCUUACAUUCUAGCAUCUCAAGCGAAGCAAGUGUUUUACUCCAGAGAAGAUGAGUCAUCAAACUGGUAUAUUGUCAUGAAAGGUCCUUCUAGAAGAUACAGUAAGGAAGAUAUUCAAGAGGGAAAUGCAGAUAUUGGGCCAUUACCGUCAAAUGUUGACUUGGAUGUUGACAUUGAUGAUGCUGAGAAUGUCAGAACUGAUUGUGAAGGGAUAUAUGUGUGACGAAGUUGCCUUAUUGACAUUGAUGAUAUCAUUGCUUGUUUUUGUUUUUGAUUGUGGUACUUGCUUGGUCAUUGUCUGCUUGUUUGGUUGUUUCUUGUUUUGAGGUUGUAGUGUGAUUGUUUCAGUGUUCUGUUGAGUAUGAAGUUAACUAUGUAUUUCUUAUUAUGUUUCAGGUGAAUUAAGAUGGGACGUGCAAAGCAGACUAAACGUGGAAGGAGACAAUCAAAGAAGUCAAAAAAGGCAGAUGAUGACGAAGUUGAGUUCGUUUGUACAAUCCAAACACAUGAAGAAGAACAUGAAGAGGAACGUGGGCAGCGACAGGAACAGGAAGAGGAACAUGUGGAGGAACGAGAACCAAAAGAGGAACAUGAGGAGGAGCAACAACAGUAAGAGGAGCGUCAACCAGAGCAACAUAAUGGCGACGAGCCUGAAGGUGAGAUAGAACAUACUCAGGAGGCUGAAGGUGGAACCUCCCGUAAGAGAAAGCGUGGUCCAACAAUGAUGAGAGACCUAGCCAAAGAUCCAAAUACCAGAGUUCAUGUCGAUUUCACUUUUAUGGGAGAAGCUUAUGGUCCUGGUUCAGUCAAGCUAUCUUCAUAUUUGGGUCCGUUGGUAAGGGAGCACGUGCCUGUUACAGUUGAAAAUUGGAAAAAAAUUACUGAAGAAGUGAAGACAGUGCUUUGGAAAUCAGUCCAGGCAAGGUUUGAACUUGAUGAGGACCACCAAAGGGUUGCAGUUCUUAAGCAGAUGGGAGCCUUGUGGAGAUCAUCCAAGUCACGUCUUGUUACCCAAAUCAAUGAAGCUGAAAAUAACCAACAAAGGAUGAAUCUCAGACCUAAGAAUGUUAAUCCAAUUGAGUGGCGCAAAUUUGUGAAGCUAAAAACAAGCCAAGAAUUCAAGGUAUACAUUCUUAGAUGGAACUCCCAUCGCUAUUACUAACUAGAUUAAUAAGAUCGUUAUUACGAAAUGAUAGGUUCUGAGUGAUAGCUACAAAGAGAGGAGAAGCAAACAGAUUCCUCACACUUGUAGUAGAAAGGGAAUGGUUAGACUAGCAGAAGAGAUGGUAAGCAUAUUAUCUCAGAUUUUGGUUUCAUUUUUUUAUCUGUAGACAAGGCUGUUGACAUAUAAUUUUGCAACAGAAAACUAGUUCUGAAGACAAAUCUGAAGUGUCGAGACUUAAAGUCUGGGUGAGGUCACGUACAAGAAAAGAUGGAACUCCCAUCAACACAAAUGCUGCUGAGAAGAUUGUAAGUUUAUAACAUAAUCUGUUCCUCCUAUUAAUCCUGGUCGGUAGAUAGAUAUGCUUAUAACUUUUUCUGUUAAUUGUAAUGUGGUAUACAGCAAAAGGCAGCUGAGAUUUUUAAGGGUGGUAGUCAGAGUGGAAAAAAUCUGGAUGAAGAUACGCUCAUCCAGGUCUUAGGACCUGAUAAUCCUGGUCGUAUGAGAGCAAUGGGGAGGAAUAUUAGUAAGACGAAAUUAGCUUGCUUCAAUGUCAACCAGAAGUCAAUUUCUGAAAUGCAACAGACACAAAUUCAUCUCAUGCAAAAGGUUAAUGAGCUACAGUCUGAACUUGCGAAAGUAAAAAACCAGGUUAGUUACAUCUCCAAGAAUACAUAAAGAUAAGUGCUUAUCACAUAAUAAUAAGCUUUGUGUUGGGUUUAUGUUACAGAGAGAUGACAAUGAAGUGGGGGAAAACUCGGCUGCAAGAAGUGUGAACAAGAUACCACAAAAGAAGUGUCUUCUCAUUGACUGGGCUGAUGAAGAUGGAAACGUUGCUGAGGGUCGUAUCAUUUCUUCUGACCCUGAAGACAUAGUGAAUGACAGUCGAUUAGGUCCUAAUGAUGUUAAAGUCUUGGUUGAUGAAGCUACUGAACCUGAAGCAUUCCUCUGGAGACCUGCGACUAACAUGUGCACAAUUAAGGAAGCUGUUGGUCAUAUUAUUGCAUGGCCGAAGAAAAAAUGCGUGGAACUAGGUCUGGGGCUUGAACAUGAAGACAUUGCAC